UCAAUUCGAUGUUAACACUCAAAUCUUAGUCAUAUCAACAAUAGUUGCUUACCUCAUAAUAGUAGGCAUGAAGAUUCCUAUCUUUGUGAAUGGAAAGCACUGAAAAGUAAGGAACGAUGGGCAUUUGAGUCAUUUGACCACAGCCAUGCUGGAGCACCACCUUUAGUUGAACAAAUCAACCCCCAGUACGAUGAC